UACAGAGGGUGCGAGCGUUGUCCGGAAUCACUGGGCGUAAAGGGCGCGUAGGUGGCGACCCAAGUCUGUGGUGAAAGCUCGACGCUCAACGUCGAGUCGGCCAUAGAUACUGGGUUGCUGGAGCACUGUAGAGGCAGAUGGAAUUCCGGGUGUAGCGGUGGAAUGCGUAGAGAUCCGGAAGAACACCGGUGGCGAAGGCGGUCUGCUGGGCAGUUGCUGACACUGAGGCGCGACAGCGUGGGGAGCAAACAGG
rnacentral:rRNA from 1 species